rnacentral:lncRNA from 11 species
CGCAAGUGACGCAACGCUGGGAAGACGCCGCUGAUUGGUCAAACGGGGAGCGGGGCGUGGCCAGCAAAGAGAAGGAAGGAAGGAGUUGUUUUUCAAACUGGGGGAAAGAGGAGAGCUGGAAGGAAGAUAGGAAGUAUUAUUGGGUUCCUGAGAAUCAUCAAAAUGAAGAAAACCUGGCAGCAGCAUUAAACAACUCUACAACCGGGACAGUAAAUAAAGAACAAAACUCUGAAAAUAAAGGUAUUCCUAUACUAAAUAUUUUACAAUACCAUUUCAAUGUUUCCAAUUUACGAUCCAUUUACAAUUUCUGAAUUUCAGUGUUUCCAAAUGCAUUGUUAAAUUGAAUUUUCCUAGAUUUUGAUUUAUUUUUUCCAUUUUUGCAAUUUUAUAUGUUUCUGUUAUAACUCCCUUUCUUCUUUUUCAAGGCAAUCAAUCUUCUUUCGUUCACCCAAAUAAUGCCUCGCCGAAAAACACACUUAGGUCGUCAUAGUUGCCCAUGGCAAGCAAGGCGACGGGCAAUUGCAAAUCUGACUGAGGAAGAAAGGGAAGCAGAGAAGGAGCGACAGAGACAAAGACAGGCCCAAAGACUUGCCAAGGAAACACCAGAGCAACGUGCAGCCAGACUCGAGAGGGCACGGUUGCGAGCACAGCAAUUGCGUUCUGCAGCUACAAAAAAGGGUCGUGCCCGACAGAAUGAACGUGACAGGUUGAGAAGGACUGAAAGACGUCAACAAGAAAAAGCAAGACUCUGUGCUCAGCAAUUGGGACCACCCCUCCAGUGGGUGGUGAAGGAGGAGGACAAUGGAAGCGGAACUGUGCUGAGCGAAAACGAGUGGAGACUAUUUCUUCAUCCUUCUUUCUCAGGCAAAGAGGAGAGGGAGAUUGAGAACGAGGAUGCACGGGUUAAAAUGCUCAGCAUCGACACAGGGGAGAGGAAAGGAGCAGGGAAGAGAGACCAAACAGAGAAAAACAUGUUUUGUCACUCAAUCCUUUCCCAGUUAGAUGAAGAGAAACCGCAGAUAUGUGUGAAGUGUGAAAAGAUCUACUGCAUGAAUGUGCAUGAAUCUAUAUAAAUAAAAAUGUAUAUGUCCGUUUGUUCAGAACCUCAGAUCUCCUGAAAUACUUCACCGAUUGCUUUGAAAUUUUGACACAACGUAGCAAUCAAACAGGCACAUGUUUUUAUGUUUUCACAUACCUACUAUUAUAUAGCUGCCACACCUGUGACAGGUAAAAUAUAUUUUUCUUCAAAACAGCACCCUCUGCUGGACAUCCAAGCCACACACGCUAUACUACAUAUUUUAUGAUUCUAUUCCAAUCUUUCCAAAUGAAUUGCUACAUUGAAUUUUCAUAGAUUUGAUUUAAUUGUGUUGAAAUUCUCCAAUGCCUGGAAUAUCACUAUGCCAAGAGAACACACUGUAGAGCUGAUGCAGUUCAACUGAGCCCUUCCACACAGCCAUAUAACCCAGAAUAUCGGGGCAGAUUAUUUAUUUAUUAUUUAUUUACAGUAUUUAUAUCCUGCCCUUCUUUCUCACCCCGAAGGGGACUCAGGGUGGAUCACAAUGUACACAUACAUGGCAAACAUUCAAUGCCAUAUGAACAUAGAGACAGAGACACAGAGGCAAUUUAACCUUCUCCAGUUUCCAGCUUCCUGAGGGUAUGCUUGAUUCUGGCCACAGGGGGAGCAGCUGCUUCAUCAUCCACUGUGAUGCCGAGUCCAUGGAUACUUCCUCAUUCCAAACACUGUUGGACGAUUUUUAUGGAGCCCGGUGGCGAACUGCGUUAAAGUGCUGAGCUGGAGACCGAAAGGUCCCAAGUUCAAUCCCCGAGGGUGGCAGGAGCGGCCGCUGUUAGCUCCAGCUCCUGCCAACCUAGCAGUUUGAAAACAUGCCAAUGUGAGUAGAUCAAUAGGUAUCGCUCCGGCGGGAAGGUAACGGCGCUCCAUGCAGUCAUGCCAAUGGCCACAUGACCUUGGAGGUAUCUACAGACAACGCCGGCUCUUCGGCUUAGAAAUGGAGAUGAGCACCAACCCUCAGAGUCAGACAUGACUGGAU